rnacentral:snoRNA from 1 species
AACCCUCUUAGCAUUUGUGUAACUUGUGGACAAAGACUUUUGGACAUGUGUAAAAAUAAGUCCCCAUUGCAGCCCUGAGCUCAUUCAGUGUGAAUUUUGACAUAUAUAAGAAGGAAUAUA